CGAUCUGGUCGUGCGUGACGUAGACCGUGGUCGUCUUGAGCCGCUGAUGCAAUUCCUUGAUCUCGGUACGCAUGGCCACGCGCAGCUUGGCAUCCAGAUUGGACAGCGGCUCGUCGAACAAAAAUACCUGGGGAUCGCGCACAAUGGCCCGGCCCAUGGCGACGCGCUGGCGCUGACCGCCGGACAACUGCCUCGGGUAGCGGUCGAGCA
rnacentral:misc_RNA from 1 species